GUGAGGAAUAUUGCGCAAUGGACGAAAGUCUGACGCAGCCAUGCCGCGUGAAGGAUUGACGGCCCUAUGGGUUGUAAACUUCUUUUGUAUAGGAAUAAACCCUCGUUCGUGAACGAGGCUGAAGGUACUAUAAGAAUAAGCACCGGCUAACUCCGUGCCAGCAGCCGCGGUAAUACGGAGGGUGCAAGCGUUAUCCGGAUUUAUUGGGUUUAAAGGGUCCGUAGGCGGAUCGUUAAGUCAGUGGUGAAAUCCUACCGCUCAACGGUAGAACUGCCAUUGAUACUGGCGAUCUUGAGUAUGUAUGAAGUUGGCGGAAUGUGUGGUGUAGCGGUGAAAUGCUUAGAUAUCACACAGAACACCGAUUGCGAAGGCAGCUGACUAAUACACAACUGACGCUGAGGGACGAAAGUGUGGGGAUCAAACAGGAUUAGAUACCCGAGUAGUCC
rnacentral:rRNA from 1 species